rnacentral:lncRNA from 1 species
GGCAUGCUGUCGUUUCAAUCUCUCUCCAGUGGUGGUAUCCCUACAAAGGAGCUGGAUUAGGUGACGUCAUCGUUUUUAUGUUUCUAAAUCUGAAGAGCAGGUUGAUGUGUUAUACAACAGAGAAAGAAAAAGGAUGGCUGUGUCAUCAGUAACAUGCCCCAUUUCAAGAAGCAGCCAGUGUUCACUAGGGAGUUUAUUCACCACAGAGAUGUAGAAAGAUUGGAAGCAAAAAUGCUGACACACGUUUGCACAGAGAACAAUUGCAACAUUAGUCCGGGGAGUUGAACCAAAACUGCCCUUUGCCUUUCUCCACCUGUUGGGGUUGGAGGGGAGCUGGAAUGCCUUAUCUUGCCCUCCAGACACACUUACUUAGGGUAGAACAAAUACCAGACAGGGAUGUGGUAACUAAAGGCUCAUUUAUUUCUCACGUUAUCUACUGAAUGCAGUGUACAAAGUCUCAAGCCUUGUGGUAUGGGGCCCAGGACAAGAAACCAUAUGCAGACUCUUCCCUCGGACGGUUUCUGUAGAAUAAGGAAGGAAACAUAAAUGACCUCAAAACAAGACAGAAAGUGAAGUGCCACAAGAGAGGAAGCAUGUUUUCAGCAUCAGCACAUUGAUUAUGCUGUCAUUAGCCAGAAUCCUGAGACAGGAAAAAGACCUAUCAGAUCACCAAAGUCCGUUCCUGGAGCGGGCCUCGGUCCCCUGGGAGAGACUGGGACAUGGCAUCUUAGGCCAAUGACCAAGGCAGAUGUAAAGGCAUGUGAAAUUGUACCCUGCUACGGUUUUUAAUUUUUGCAAGUUUCUGCAAUAACUCCCGGGGACUCUUCAUAAGACAGUUACACUGCUGAAUUUGGGAUUGGGUAAACAGUGGAGUCCUAUCGACACAGUGGAAUACUACUUAACAAUGAAAAAAGAACUACUGAUACAUACGACAACUUGAAUGGAGCUCAAGGGCAUUAUGUUGAGUGAAAAAAGCCAGUCUCAAAAGAUCUAUCCAUGUUUUCAAAUUCUUUCAAUAAGUAGAAGAAUGCAUUCCAAGUGGAGGACUAUUAGGAAGAAAGAUCCAGGAUUGAUAUGACCCUGGAAUCAUCUAUGCACUUGAUUCUAAAAUGGAAAAUGUCCUUUAAAUGGAACAGGUUCCAGAUGAUCCUCUGAGGAGCUUCGCUUUGACGUGAAGCUGGACAGAGAUGAUCCAUUGCGAGCCAUUGACUCUGAUCUUCAAGGCUCUUAUUCUCAAAAGUCACAGAAGCAUCACCACAGUUGUCAACCUUUGAAGACUAAGGUAUUGCAACAUCGUGAUGAAGGCAAACUACAGUAGAUGCCAGAGUUGAAGACCAGUCCUCAAACCUCAGGUGGACCCUAGAAAAUCCCUCUGGAGAGACAAAUUCCUGAUGCCAGCCUUAAAACACUGUUCAAACUCUCUCCUUUCACCAGGCUGUAGGGAACAACCAACAGUUUGGCAAAGGACAACUUCCACCACGUUGACUCUGGCCAAUUGAGAUUCUAUUGUCUUCAGAGAAGAAUGCUCACGAGUAUAGAUGCUGAAUAACAUAGUGGAUCUCAAGGAAUUGUCCCCCCAAAUACUUUUUACUUACCAAAGGUAAAAUAAUAAUUUUACAGUGGGGAAACCUGGCAGACACCACCUUAACCAAAUGACCAAAGAUAACCUUGCAGCAAUGGGACUAAUCAGUAUUAGUCCCAUUGUCUCCUCAUAGGACGCUCUGAGAAGAACUCAGCCUUAUUCCUGUGAUAUUCUACCAAAAGCGCAUGACUUGAAUCUAGUCAUAAGGAAACAUCCAACAAAUCUGAGUAGAGGGAGAGUCUACAAAAUAACUGGUCUGUACUCUUCAAAAAUGCCAGUGUCGAGAGAAAGACAGACUCAGGAAACUGUUCCACUUCACAGGAGACUGAAGACACAAGAUGACUUAAUUCAAAUCUUGGAUUGUUUUUGCUGUAAAAGACAUUGUUGGGACAAUUGACAAAAAUCUUAAUAAGCUCUGUAGAUUAGGUAAUAACAUUGUUUCAUUGUUAAUUUCCUGGUUUUGAUCAUUGUCCUAUGGUCACGCAAGGGAAUUCAUGCUUUUAGGAAAUACAGACAAAAGGUCAUCAUAUCUGUGGCUUACUCUUAGAUGGGCAUGAGAGCAAAUGAUGGAAAUGAUGGAAAUGCUCCAUAUCUUGACUGUGGUGGUGGUUACAAUGGUUACACGAACGCACCUAUUUGUCAAAGUUCAUCAAACUUAAAUGCAUGAAUUUUAUUGUUUGUAACCAUACCUCAAUCAAUAAAGCUGAUUUUUUAAAAAUGCUUUUCAUUUUGAUAUUGUAUAUUAUUUUGUGAAGUAACUACUCAAGUAAUAAGUCAUAUGAACUAAUUUUCUGGGUUUUAUGUGUAUAAUUUUGUGUUGAUUGAUUGAUUGCCUAAUCUGAUGCAUGAAAUUCAAUAAAUUGUCACUGAACUGUUAGAAGCUCACUGUCUCCAUUGUGUCAUUUUAUCUCAUCUAUUGUAAGUAGUUUGCAACUAGGCAUGCGAGUUCUCAUUCAAAUCUUGCUUGCUUUUUUUUUUAAAGAUAUUAUUUUUCCUUUUUGUCCCUGAAGGCCCCCGGUACACAGUUGUAUAUUUGUAGCUGUGGGUCCCUCUAGUUGUGGCAUGUGGGACACAGCCUCAGCACGGCUUGAUGAGUGGUGCCAUGUCCGCCCCCAGGAUCCGAACCGGCGAAACCCUGGGCCGUCGAAGCAGAGCACGCGAACUUAACCACUCAGCCACGGGGCCGGCCCCUCUUGCUUGCUUUUUAAAGAGCUGAAAAUAUUUUCUGUCUAAAAACAUUUCUUCUUGCCAAUAAAAGAUAUAUUCAACAG